rnacentral:rRNA from 1 species
UGAGACAGGUGCUGCAUGGCUGUCGUCAGCUCGUGUUGUGAAAUGUUGGGUUAAGUCCCGCAACGAGCGCAACCCUUAUCCUUUGUUGCCAGCGGUUCGGCCGGGAACUCAAAGGAGACUGCCAGUGAUAAACUGGAGGAAGGUGGGGAUGACGUCAAGUCAUCAUGGCCCUUACGAGUAGGGCUACACACGUGCUACAAUGGCAUAUACAAAGAGAAGCGACCUCGCGAGAGCAAGCGGACCUCAUAAAGUAUGUCGUAGUCCGGAUUGGAGUCUGCAACUCGACUCCAUGAAGUCGGAAUCGCUAGUAAUCGUAGAUCAGAAUGCUACGGUGAAUACGUUCCCGGGCCUUGUACACACCGCCCGUCACACCAUGGGAGUGGGUUGCAAAAGAAGUAGGUAGCUUAACCUUCGGGAGGGCGCUUACCACUUUGUGAUUCAUGACUGGGGUGAAGUCGUAACAAGGUAACCGUAGGGGAACCUGCGGUUGGAUCACCUCCUUA